UACGUAGGGUGCAAGCGUUAAUCGGAAUUACUGGGCGUAAAGCGUGCGCAGGCGGUGAUGUAAGACAGUUGUGAAAUCCCCGGGCUCAACCUGGGAACUGCAUUCUGAUGCUGCAUCGGCUGGAGUGCGGCAGAGGGGGAUGGAAUUCCGCGUGUAGCAGUGAAAUGCGUAGAUAUGCGGAGGAACACCGAUGGCGAAGGCAUCCCCUGGGCCUGCACUGACGCUCAUGCACGAAAGCGUGGGGAGCAAACAGG
rnacentral:rRNA from 1 species